UGCAAGUCGAACGGUGAACACGAGAGCUUGCUCUGUGGGAUCAGUGGCGAACGGGUGAGUAACACGUGAGCAACCUGCCCCUGACUCUGGGAUAAGCGCUGGAAACGGCGUCUAAUACUGGAUAUGUGACGUGACCGCAUGGUCUGCGUCUGGAAAGAAUUUCGGUUGGGGAUGGGCUCGCGGCCUAUCAGCUUGUUGGUGAGGUAAUGGCUCACCAAGGCGUCGACGGGUAGCCGGCCUGAGAGGGUGACCGGCCACACUGGGACUGAGACACGGCCCAGACUCCUACGGGAGGCAGCAGUGGGGAAUAUUGCACAAUGGGCGCAAGCCUGAUGCAGCAACGCCGCGUGAGGGACGACGGCCUUCGGGUUGUAAACCUCUUUUAGCAGGGAAGAAGCGAAAGUGACGGUACCUGCAGAAAAAGCGCCGGCUAACUACGUGCCAGCAGCCGCGGUAAUACGUAGGGCGCAAGCGUUAUCCGGAAUUAUUGGGCGUAAAGAGCUCGUAGGCGGUUUGUCGCGUCUGCUGUGAAAUCCGGAGGCUCAACCUCCGGCCUGCAGUGGGUACGGGCAGACUAGAGUGCGGUAGGGGAGAUUGGAAUUCCUGGUGUAGCGGUGGAAUGCGCAGAUAUCAGGAGGAACACCGAUGGCGAAGGCAGAUCUCUGGGCCGUAACUGACGCUGAGGAGCGAAAGGGUGGGGAGCAAACAGGCUUAGAUACCCUGGUAGUCCACCCCGUAAACGUUGGGAACUAGUUGUGGGGUCCAUUCCACGGAUUCCGUGACGCAGCUAACGCAUUAAGUUCCCCGCCUGGGGAGUACGGCCGCAAGGCUAAAACUCAAAGGAAUUGACGGGGACCCGCACAAGCGGCGGAGCAUGCGGAUUAAUUCGAUGCAACGCGAAGAACCUUACCAAGGCUUGACAUAUACGAGAACGGGCCAGAAAUGGUCAACUCU
rnacentral:rRNA from 1 species